rnacentral:rRNA from 1 species
GCGUGCCUAAUACAUGCAAGUCCAGCGGACUGAUGGGAGCUUGCUCCCAUCAGUCAGCGGCGGACGGGUGAGUAACACGUGGGUAACCUGCCUGUAAGACUGGGAUAACUCCGGGAAACCGGGGCUAAUACCGGAUAACUCAUUUCCUCGCAUGAGGAAAUGUUGAAAGGUGGCUUUUAGCUAUCACUUACAGAUGGACCCGCGGCGCAUUAGCUAGUUGGUGAGGUAACGGCUCACCAAGGCGACGAUGCGUAGCCGACCUGAGAGGGUGAUCGGCCACACUGGGACUGAGACACGGCCCAGACUCCUACGGGAGGCAGCAGUAGGGAAUCUUCCGCAAUGGACGAAAGUCUGACGGAGCAACGCCGCGUGAGUGAUGAAGGUUUUCGGAUCGUAAAACUCUGUUGUUAGGGAAGAACAAGUACCGUUCGAAUAGGGCGGUACCUUGACGGUACCUAACCAGAAAGCCACGGCUAACUACGUGCCAGCAGCCGCGGUAAUACGUAGGUGGCAAGCGUUGUCCGGAAUUAUUGGGCGUAAAGCGCGCGCAGGUGGUUCCUUAAGUCUGAUGUGAAAGCCCACGGCUCAACCGUGGAGGGUCAUUGGAAACUGGGGGACUUGAGUGCAGAAGAGGAAAGUGGAAUUCCCAGUGUAGCGGUGAAAUGCGUAGAUAUUUGGAGGAACACCAGUGGCGAAGCGACUUUCUGGUCUGUAACUGACACUGAGGCGCGAAAGCGUGGGG